rnacentral:rRNA from 1 species
UAAGGAAUAUUGCUCAAUGGGAGAAAUCCUGAAGCAGCAACGCCGCGUGGAGGAUGAAGGGUCUAUGACUUGUAAACUCCUGUAAAGAAGGAAAAAAUUCCCAUUUGAUGGGAGAUGAUGGUACUUCUGGAGUAAGCCCCGGCUAACUACGUGCCAGCAGCCGCGGUAAUACGUAGGGGGCAAGCGUUGUCCGGAUUUACUGGGUGUAAAGGGUGCUCAGGCGGAUUUGUAAGUCAGAGGUGAAAUCUUACAGCUUAACUGUGAAACUGCCUUUGAUACUGCAAGCCUAGAGUAUGGAAGAGAGUGAUGGAAUAUCUGGUGUAGCAGUGAAAUGCGAAGAUAUCAGAUAGAACACCAAUGGCGAAGGCAGUCACUGGGUCCAUUACUGAAGCUAAAGCACGAAAGCGUGGGUAGCAAACA